GUUUAGCAUCAAGAACGCUUAUGCGUACCAACCGACACGCUCGUUGCACGGUGGUUUAGAAUGCGGGGCUCCUCCCAAAAAAACGAGAAAUC
rnacentral:ncRNA from 10 species